rnacentral:rRNA from 1 species
UACAGAGGUCUCAAGCGUUGUUCGGAUUCAUUGGGCGUAAAGGGUGCGUAGGUGGCAUGGUAAGUCGGGUGUGAAAUCCCGGGGCUCAACCCCGGAACUGCACUCGAUACUGCCGUGCUCGAGUACUGGAGAGGAGACUGGAAUUUACGGUGUAGCAGUGAAAUGCGUAGAUAUCGUAAGGAAGACCGGUGGCGAAGGCUAGUCUCUGGACAGUUACUGACACUGAGGCACGAAGGCCAGGGGAGCAAACGGG